rnacentral:tRNA from 1 species
ACCUGGGUGGCUCAGUGGUAGAGCAUCUGCCUUUGGCUCAGGUUGUGAUCCCGGGGUCCUGGGAUCGAGUCCCGGGUCAGGCU